rnacentral:rRNA from 1 species
AGCAGCCGCGGUGAUUCCAGCUCCAAUAGCGUAUAUUAAAGUUGUUGCAGUUAAAAAGCUCGUAGUUGAAUUUCGGGAUCAAUAUGUCGGUCGUGCCUUGGUACGUACUGGUAUCAUUGGUCUCUCCUUUCUGACGAACCAUGAUGUCAUUAAUUUGGUGUUAUGGGAAGUUAGGACUGUUACUUUGAAAAAAUUGAGUGUUUAAAGCAGGCUUUAGCUUGAAUACAUUAGCAUGGAAUAAUGAAAUAGGACGUUCGAACCUAUUUUGUUGGUUUCUAGGAUCAACGUAAUGAUUAAUAGGGAUAGUUGGGGGCAUUAGUAUUCAAUUGUCAGAGGUGAAAUUCUUGGAUUUAUUGAAGACUAACUACUGCGAAAGCAUUUGCCAAGGAUGUUUUCAUUAAUCAAGAACGAAAGUUAGGGGAUCGAAGACGAUCAGAUACCGUCGUAGUCUUAACCAUAAACUAUGCCGACUAGGGAUCGGAUGAUGUUAAUUUUUAAUGA